rnacentral:rRNA from 1 species
AUGUUAGCGGCGGACGGGUGAGUAACACGUGGAUAACCUACCUAUAAGACUGGGAUAACUUCGGGAAACCGGAGCUAAUACCGGAUAAUAUUUUGAACCGCAUGGUUCAAAAGUGAAAGACGGUCUUGCUGUCACUUAUAGAUGGAUCCGCGCUGCAUUAGCUAGUUGGUAAGGUAACGGCUUACCAAGGCAACGAUGCAUAGCCGACCUGAGAGGGUGAUCGGCCACACUGGAACUGAGACACGGUCCAGACUCCUACGGGAGGCAGCAGUAGGGAAUCUUCCGCAAUGGGCGAAAGCCUGACGGAGCAACGCCGCGUGAGUGAUGAAGGUCUUCGGAUCGUAAAACUCUGUUAUUAGGGAAGAACAUAUGUGUAAGUAACUGUGCACAUCUUGACGGUACCUAAUCAGAAAGCCACGGCUAACUACGUGCCAGCAGCCGCGGUAAUACGUAGGUGGCAAGCGUUAUCCGGAAUUAUUGGGCGUAAAGCGCGCGUAGGCGGUUUUUUAAGUCUGAUGUGAAAGCCCACGGCUCAACCGUGGAGGGUCAUUGGAAACUGGAAAACUUGAGUGCAGAAGAGGAAAGUGGAAUUCCAUGUGUAGCGGUGAAAUGCGCAGAGAUAUGGAGGAACACCAGUGGCGAAGGCGACUUUCUGGUCUGUAACUGACGCUGAUGUGCGAAAGCGUGGGGAUCAAACAGGAUUAGAUACCCUGGUAGUCCACGCCGUAAACGAUGAGUGCUAAGUGUUAGGGGGUUUCCGCCCCUUAGUGCUGCAGCUAACGCAUUAAGCACUCCGCCUGGGGAGUACGACCGCAAGGUUGAAACUCAAAGGAAUUGACGGGGACCCGCACAAGCGGUGGAGCAUGUGGUUUAAUUCGAAGCAACGCGAAGAACCUUACCAAAUCUUGACAUCCUUUGACAACUCUAGAGAUAGAGCUUUCCCCUUCGGGGGACAAAGUGACAGGUGGUGCAUGGUUGUCGUCAGCUCGUGUCGUGAGAUGUUGGGUUAAGUCCCGCAACGAGCGCAACCCUUAAGCUUAGUUGCCAUCA